CACUCUUGGGGAAUCUGCACCAUGGCCUGGUCUCUGAUCCUCCUCACCCUCCUCACUCAGAGCUCAGGUUCCUGGGCCCAGACUCCCCUGACUCAGCCUGCCUCAGGGUCUGGAUCUCCUGGACAGUCUGUCACCAUCUCCUGUGCUGGAAGCAGCAAUGAUGUUGGGUAUAGUAAUUAUGUCUCCUGGUACCAACAGCAACCGGGCAUGGUCCCCAAACUCCUGAUAUGUAAUGAUAAAAGUCGGCCCUCAGGGAUCCCUGAUCGCUUCUCUGGCUCCAAGUCUGGCAACACGGCCUCCCUGACCAUCUCUAGGCUCCAGGCUGAGGAUGAGGCUGAUUAUUACUGUGCUUCAUAUAGAAACCCUAGCACUCUCCACAGUGGUGCCAUCUCCCUGCAGGAGCAGCCUCCAGGGAAACCCUGA